rnacentral:rRNA from 1 species
UACAGAGGUCUCAAGCGUUGUUCGGAUUCAUUGGGCGUAAAGGGUGCGUAGGUGGCGUGGUAAGUCGGAUGUGAAAUCCCGGGGCUCAACCCCGGAACUGCAUUCGAUACUGCCUUGCUAGAGUACUGGAGAGGAGAUUGGAAUUUACGGUGUAGCAGUGAAAUGCGUAGAUAUCGUAAGGAAGACCAGUGGCGAAGGCGGAUCUCUGGACAGUUACUGACACUGAGGAGCGAAAGCGUGGGGAGCGAACAGG